UAACCUGCCCAAGAGAUCGGGAUAACACCUGGAAACAGAUGCUAAUACCGGAUAAUAACAGAUGAUGCCUAUCAACUGUUUAAAAGAUGGUUCUGCUAUCACUCUUGGAUGGACCUGCGGUGCAUUAGCUAGUUGGUAGGGUAACGGCCUACCAAGGCGAUGAUGCAUAGCCGAGUUGAGAGACUGAUCGGCCACAUUGGGACUGAGACACGGCCCAAACUCCUACGGGAGGCAGCAGUA
rnacentral:rRNA from 1 species